rfam:Danio rerio chromosome 20, GRCz11 reference primary assembly.
GUCAGAAUGGUCGAGUGGUCUAAGACACCGGACUCAAGUUGAUAUAACCUUCUUAGGUAGUGAGAACUGUGGUCUCCAGCUGGAGGCGUAGGUUCAAAUCCAACUUUUGACA